AUCCAGGGACUGCUUACUCUGUGAGAAGUGCUACCUCACAACCUCGAUUUGAAAGACCCCAGAGCCAGGAGACCCUCACUCAAGUCUUGGGAUGACGUGAUCCCCCAAGAACUCACGAGAGACU
rnacentral:pre_miRNA from 14 species